rnacentral:rRNA from 1 species
GACGGAGGGGGCAAGCGUUGCUCGGAAUUACUGGGCGUAAAGGGCGCGUAGGCGGGAUGGCAAGUCGGUCGUGAAAUCCCUCGGCUCAACUGAGGAUCGUCGAUCGAUACUGCCGUUCUUGAGGAUUGCAGAGGAGACUGGAAUUCCCGGUGUAGCGGUGAAAUGUGUAGAGAUCGGGAGGAACACCGGUGGCGAAGGCGGGUCUCUGGGCAAUUCCUGACGCUGAGGCGCGAAAGCGUGGGGAGCAAACGGG